rnacentral:rRNA from 1 species
GACGAACGCUGGCGGCGUGCUUAACACAUGCAAGUCGAACGGAAAGGCCCUGCUUUUGUGGGGUGCUCGAGUGGCGAACGGGUGAGUAACACGUGAGUAACCUGCCCUUGACUUUGGGAUAACUUCAGGAAACUGGGGCUAAUACCGGAUAGGAGCUCCUGCUGCAUGGUGGGGGUUGGAAAGUUUCGGCGGUUGGGGAUGGACUCGCGGCUUAUCAGCUUGUUGGUGGGGUAGUGGCUUACCAAGGCUUGGACGGGUAGCCGGCCUGAGAGGGUGACCGGCCACAUUGGGACUGAGAUACGGCCCAGACUCCUACGGGAGGCAGCAGUGGGGAAUAUUGCACAAUGGGCGGAAGCCUGAUGCAGCAACGCCGCAUGCGGGAUGACGGCCUUCGGGUUGUAAACCGCUUUCGCCUGUGACGAAGCGUGAGUGACGGUAAUGGGUAAAGAAGCACCGGCUAACUACGUG